GGCGGAUUAGCUAGUUGGUGGGGUAAAGGCUCACCAAGGCGACGAUCCGUAGCUGGUCUGAGAGGACGACCAGCCACACUGGGACUGAGACACGGCCCAGACUCCUACGGGAGGCAGCAGUGGGGAAUUUUGGACAAUGGGCGAAAGCCUGAUCCAGCAAUGCCGCGUGUGUGAAGAAGGCCUUCGGGUUGUAAAGCACUUUUGUCCGGAAAGAAAUCCUGAUGGCUAAUAUCCGUCGGGGAUGACGGUACCGGAAGAAUAAGCACCGGCUAACUACGUGCCAGCAGCCGCGGUAAUACGUAGGGUGCAAGCGUUAAUCGGAAUUACUGGGCGUAAAGCGUGCGCAGGCGGUGAUGCAAGACCGAUGUGAAAUCCCCGGGCUUAACCUGGGAACUGCAUUGGUGACUGCAUCGCUAGAGUAUGGCAGAGGGGGGUAGAAUUCCACGUGUAGCAGUGAAAUGCGUAGAGAUGUGGAGGAAUACCGAUGGCGAAGGCAGCCCCCUGGGUCAAUACUGACGCUCAUGCACGAAAGCGUGGGGAGCA
rnacentral:rRNA from 1 species